GCUUAACGCGAAGAACCUUACCAGCCCUUGACAUGGCAGGACGAUUUCCGGAGACGGAUCUCUUCACUUCGGUGACCUGCACACAGGUGCUGCAUGGCUGUCGUCAGCUCGUGUCGUGAGAUGUUGGGUUAAGUCCCGCAACGAGCGCAACCCUCGCCUCUAGUUGCCAUCAUUAAGUUGGGCACUCUAGAGGGACUGCCGGUGAUAAGCCGGAGGAAGGUGGGGAUGACGUCAAGUCCUCAUGGCCCUUACGGGCUGGGCUACACACGUGCUACAAUGGUGGUGACAGAGGGCAGCUACUCCGCGAGGGAAGCUAAUCUCACAAACCGAUCGUAGUCCGGAUCGCAGUCUGCAACUCGACUGCGUGAAGUCGGAAUCGCUAGUAAUCGUGAAUCAGAAUGUCACGGUGAAUACGUUCCGGGUCUUGUAC
rnacentral:rRNA from 1 species